UACGGGGGGGGCAAGCGUUGUUCGGAAUUACUGGGCGUAAAGGGCUCGUAGGUGGCCAACUAAGUCAUACGUGAAAUCUCCGGGCCUAACCCGGAAACUGCGUUGGAAACUAUCUGACUAGAGGAAUGGAGGGGAGACUGGAAUACUUGGUGUAGCAGUGAAAUGCGUAGAUAUCAAGUGGAACACCAGUGGCGAAGGCGAGUCUCUGGACAUUUCCUGACGCUGAGGCACGAAAGCCAGGGGAGCAAACGGG
rnacentral:rRNA from 1 species